UGUCACUCAGAGCUUCCACAAGAGAUCCAAAAAAUAUUUCUUAAGGAAUUUGGAGAAGUUUACAAUAUCGAGUUGCCUGGUAAGGAAGACAGAGCAAAAUUUUUGGAGGACCUAAUUCUAAAUCGAACUGCUAAGCCUCCUGUAAAGAAAGCAGUUCGUCGGACAUUGGAAGUCCUGCCUGUAGCAUCACCACCUGAGCCUCAAGAGCCGACAGAGG